rnacentral:rRNA from 1 species
UACGAAGGUCCCAAGCGUUGUUCGGAAUCACUGGGCGUAAAGGGAGCGUAGGCUGUGAGGUAAGUCGGGUGUGAAAUUUCGGGGCUCAACCCCGAACUUGCAGUGGGUACGGGCAGACUAGAGUGUGGUAGGGGAGACUGGAAUUCCUGGUGUAGCGGUGAAAUGCGCAGAUAUCGGGAGGAACACCAGUGGCGAAGGCGGCGAUCUGGGAAGAUACUGACGCUGAGGUGCGAAAGCGUGGGGAGCAAACAGG